AAAAAUUUACCUUUUGUAUUUAUGUCGUUAAAGUCAGACAGAUGCAAACAGUGUCUUAUGCUGUCAUAUAAAUUUGUCAGAAAAAUAAUGCAAAGAUGAAAAGAAGACUCGACAUGAGAUAGAUUGUUUAAUGGCUACAAAUACUUUUCAUUCCAGUAUAUACGGUUUUUUGCAAUGUGACAUUGCCACUUUUCUCAUGCUGAAGUAGAAUCUAUUUCUCUGUUCUGUUAAAUUUGUGCUGGACUUGUGAUUUGCUUUGUUGGAUAGUAUGUGGUGGGAGUGACAUGAUGUGACCACUACACACUAGGCCCUGAGAGAUCUUGUAGCUGGCAUCCCUAAUCCUCUUUGACCACUGCUCAAAGACCUCCAUGUAAGAGGAUAGUCUAGUCAUGACUACAGUGCUACAUAUGGUCCCCAACAACAUAUGAGAGAAGCCAUCUUGGAUUUUCUAGCCCUGCUAAUCAUCAAAAUAUUGGAAAUAAUAAACCAUUGUCUUCAGACAAAAAAAUCCCCUAAGUUUUGGGGUUAUUUUUAUACAGCAAAGUUUGAUCUAAAUAUAAUGCUUGCUUCAGUUUUAGAUUAUUUUAAUAACUAGAAAGAGUUGCAAUAUUUAUGUAAUCAUUACUUUUAUUUUCUAAAAGAUGAUGCUCCUUGCCUUAUAAAACAAUUAACAAUGAGAUAUUUUGACCUUCCCAAAUAAUUUUAUAACCAAUUUUAUAUUUCCUUUGGACAAUAUUCUAUAAAUGAACAAAUCUUUGCCAUGGUCAUAAAUCUUACUUUCUGAAAGGCAAGAGGAAUGUCUAAUUUUUAUGAGAUUUUUGUGAACUCUAAUAUAGAUUCAUAUAGGCAAGAAAAAAUAGCUUAUUUAAUAACGAUGCCAGUAAUUUUGGCAAUACAUAAUGUUAUGAGAUAUUUUCCAGAGAAUCCAUGAGUUUUAUAAAAUUUCCCUUCAUGUGUUUAAUCAAAUUAGCAGAAUCAUUGUGUAAAAGUGCAAUUUGUUCAAGAAUGUGAAGCUUUAUGAUUUACAUAUACAUCCUUUUGGGGAGACCCUAUGACACCGUGAUUUUCUUGAAAAUGAGUCAAUUGAAGAGAAGGUGCCUUUGAAGCUAUAUACUCAAGAUCUAAAGUCCUUGAAAAAUUGCUAAAUUCUAACUAUAUAUAACCAUACAGGUAUAUGUAUUCUGUAUCUAUCUCUUUAUAACACAUAUAUCAUAAAUAAUGUCUAUGACUUAUCAGAAGCAAGAUGUUAAGAAAAAGCACAAUCAUAUGAAAUAGAUUAAGUAAUAAUCUUAAUCUGAUAGAGGAUCUGUAUUCAUUGGUAUUCAAAUGAAGAUCUUCAUGCAGGAAAAUUUCAACUUUCUUUAUUUAACCUGGACAUUCAAUGGAGUAAAUAAUUUUGCAAGGACUUUGUAGUUGAAAAAGGUUCACA
rnacentral:lncRNA from 13 species